AUCAAACUUUACACUACACUAUCAUUUAAAUGAAUACUUUAAUAGCAAUAAAUAAAAAAUAGAGAAUCACAAUCAUACAUAUUGGGCUAUCAUACGUACUGUAACAAAGCUACUUUUCACCUAGAAAAAGAGGAAAAUGUGUAUGAGAACACUUCAGCACUAUAAAACAACGUAUAAACUCAACUAUCUUUCUCAGAUGAUCAGAAAAUAAAAACACUUGUAAAGUCCUCACCUGCACCAAGAAAAGUUUUUUUCAGAAUUGAUACUAUUUCUCUUCUAUCUUUGGAUUAUAUUUUCUUUUAGAUAAGUAAUUUACUGUGCAGUAAAACUUAACAGUAACAGGAUUAUCAAUGUAUCUGAAAAUGUUAUUGUCAGACGCCAAGCAAUGUAAAUGUGCUUAAAGCUGCAUUAAUUGACUUUUUCGUCACUUUGCGGUAGAAGAGUUCCACAACAAGAUGACAGAUGUAGCAGCCCUGACAUAUUAUCACAUUAUUCAUUUUUAUGGCUAAUGUGUUAGCAAACAUUUGCCAUUUAUACAACCAGUGCAGAUCAAGUAUGUUUUAUGUGUUUUGUGUACUUUGUGCAUUUUACCGUGUAUACCUAAUGUUUGCUUUUAUUCUCCUGUUCUUUAUUGUGUCCAACCUCAACAUUGUAAAUCAAUGGAAGAAUAUUGGGGUGGGAUAAGACAUUAUGCUAAUUAUCAUACAUCAGAUACAUCAAUAGCUUUCGAACAUUGCGCCACAAAAUAUUGAUGUUUUCUCUGUCAUGUGGUUCUAACAGCAACUGAAUAUGUAAGUCUUUUAAAUAUAAUGGCAAACACUGGCAACUGGUAUUUUAAUAAAUCUGUAUAUAUAUAUUCUUAUUGUCUACUUGAAUUGAUGUAUUUGACUUUUCACAAUAAAUACAAACAAUAAAGAAAUGUUAAUGAUUAAA